GUCACCUGGCUUAAGUUAGAAAUACAAGACUAAUCAGGAAAAUUAAUCACAGACAGUUUGAGAAUCAUCCCAUCUGUUGCCCACCUGAACCAAGAAUCAAAUCCUAGAGUAGGACUGUGCUUACUGCUUGGUUGGAGAUCUACUGGGAUCUUAGUAUUGGGAGAGACCCAACAGGUCAUGAUUCCUGGGCAGAUGCUUAUUCCUAUCUCUGGCUGCUGACCCUUGGUUUGACUUUCUGGUUCCUGAAUUUUGGCCAUAAGCAUUCGGCUCCUUUCCCAGCUCUGGACACAGGCCCUAACCUUUGGGCUGAAUAGCCUGGGCUCCAGUCUGUAAUCCUAGAUGGGUACCAGGUCAUCCGUAGUAGACUGUACUCUAAUUUAUUCAAUAACAAAUGAAGUCUAACAGAUAAG